UACGAAGGGGGCUAGCGUUGUUCGGAAUUACUGGGCGUAAAGCGCGCGCAGGCGGUCUUCCAAGUCAGUGGUGAAAGCCCGGAGCUCAACUCCGGAACUGCCAUUGAAACUGUAAGACUUGAGGAUGAGAGAGGUGAGUGGAAUUCCCAGUGUAGAGGUGAAAUUCGUAGAUAUUGGGAAGAACACCGGUGGCGAAGGCGGCUCACUGGCUCAUUACUGACGCUCAUGCUCUACAUCGUGGGUAUCAAACACG
rnacentral:rRNA from 1 species